rnacentral:rRNA from 1 species
GUAGGUGGCAAGCGUUGUCCGGAAUUAUUGGGCGUAAAGCGCGCGCAGGCGGUUCUUUAAGUCUGAUGUGAAAGCCCACGGCUCAACCGUGGAGGGUCAUUGGAAACUGGAGAACUUGAGUACAGAGGAGGAAAGCGGAAUUCCACGUGUAGCGGUGAAAUGCGUAGAGAUGUGGAGGAACACCAGUGGCGAAGGCGGCUUUCUGGUCUGUAACUGACGCUGAGGCGCGAAAGCGUGGGGAGCAAACAGGGAUUAGAUACCCUGGUAGUCCACGCCGUAAACGAUGAGUGCUAAGUGUUAGGGGGUUUCCGCCCCCUUAGUGCUGCAGCUAACGCAUUAAGCACUCCGCCUGGGGAGUACGGCCGCAAGGCUG